UACCAGCUCAACAUGACGUUCA
rnacentral:misc_RNA from 1 species